ACACAAUAACAAUGGUGAUUGGAGGUUAGGGACCAGGCGGUCUAUAUACAAUAACAAUGGUGAUUGGAGGUUAGGGACCAUGCAGUCUAUAUACAAUAACAAUGGUGAUUGGAGGUUAGGGACCAGGUGGUCUAUACACAAUAACAAUGGUGAUUGGAGGUUAGGGACCAGGUGGUCUAUACACAAUAACAAUGGUGAUUGGAGGUUAGGGACCAGGCGGUCUAUACACAAUAACAAUGGU